GGAGUUUCAGACAGACUCCAUAUUAAUGUGGAUGGCCACAAUGAGAGCCGCCAUUUUGACCUUAUCAGCUCUGGCCCUUAUCUGGGGAGCCGCAGCCAUCGUCACAAUAUGGACGUGCCUGGUAAAAGAAAAUGAGAAAUUGAGGGACACCUGUGAGCUGUUGCACAAGGCACUGGACAUACGUGAAGGGG